UACGUAGGGACCAAGCGUUGUCCGGAAUCAUUGGGCGUAAAGCGCGACGUAGGUGGCCAUUUAAGUUCCGCUGUGAAAGUCAGAGGCUCAACCUUUGAAAGCCGGUGGAUACUGGAUGCUAGAGUACGGAAGAGGCGAGUGGAAUUCCUGGUGUAGGCGGUGGAAUGCGCAGAUAUCAGGAGGAACACCAAUAGCGAAGGCAGCUCGCUGGGACGUUACUGACACUAAGGCGCGAAAGCGUGGGAGCGAACAGG
rnacentral:rRNA from 1 species